GGGCGCAUGGUCUAGUGGUAUGAUACUCCCUUCGCAUUUCUGGAACUCAGAUCAUAGUGCUUGGGAGGGGUCCGGGGUUCAAUUCCCUGUGCGUCCA